GCUUGUUGGUGAGGUAACGGCUCACCAAGGCAACGAUGGAUAGGGGAACUGAGAGGUUGAUCCCCCACACUGGAACUGAGACACGGUCCAGACUCCUACGGGAGGCAGCAGUGAGGAAUAUUGGUCAAUGGACGAGAGUCUGAACCAGCCAAGUCGCGUGAAGGAAGACGGCCCUACGGGUUGUAAACUUCUUUUGUAAGGGAAUAAAUAGUCUUACGCGCUAAGACGUUGCAGGUACCUUACGAAUAAGGAUCGGCUAACUCCGUGCCAGCAGCCGCGGUAAUACGGAGGAUCCGAGCGUUAUCCGGAUUUAUUGGGUUUAAAGGGUGCGCAGGCGGCAUGUUAAGUCGGCGGUGAAAUUUUGCAGCUCAACUGUAAAAGAGCCUUCGAAACUGGCAAGCUUGAGUGUGGAUGAAGUAGGCGGAAUUUGUGGUGUAGCGGUGAAAUGCAUAGAUAUCACAAAGAACACCGAUUGCGCAGGCAGCUUACUAAACCAUAACUGACGCUCAUGCACGAAGGCAUGGGGAUCAAACAGGAUUAGAUACCCUGGUAGUCCACGCAGUAAACGAUGAUUACUGGCUGUUUGCGAUACAAUGUAAGCGGCUG
rnacentral:rRNA from 1 species